UAGCAACCCACUCCAGUGUUCUUGCCUGGAGAAUCCCAGGGACGGGGGAGCCUGGUGGGCUGCCGUCUAUGGGAUCAAAGAGUCGGACACGACUGAAGCGACUUCACAGCAGCAGCAGCAGUGGCUCUAUCGUCUACACGAGAUCUGGCGGCGGCAGUGCCUGGAAUGGAGGCGAAUGCUCACCCUGGGAACCCAGCCACCAUGCUGUGAGGAAGCCCAAGCCACACUGGCAGGGUCACAUGGAAAGUGAUCAUGCCUGAGACGCUGAGCCCUGGGCCUUGGCUGAACUCCAGCUGGCAACCAGCACCAAUUUGCCAGCCACGUAAGUGAGCACUCAGAAAAGGGUCCCCCACCCUUCUGUCCUUCCACCCAUUGAGGCACAUGGAACAAAGACAAGUCUUACCUGCCAAGCCCUGCCCAGACUACAGAUUCACAAGCAAAAUAAAUUGUUGUGUGGUU